rnacentral:rRNA from 1 species
UACGUAGGGGGCGAGCGUUGUCCGGAAUUACUGGGCGUAAAGGGCGCGUAGGCGGCCCAAUAAGUCAGAUGUGAAAAACCUGGGCUUAACCGAGGUCUUGCAUUUGAAACUGUUGGGCUUGAGGACAGGAGAGGAAAGCGGAAUUCCCAGUGUAGCGGUGAAAUGCGUAGAUAUUGGGAGGAACACCAGUGGCGAAGGCGGCUUUCUGGACUGCACCUGACGCUGAGGCGCGAAAGCCAGGGGAGCGAAC